rnacentral:rRNA from 1 species
UACGAAGGGGGCUAGCGUUGCUCGGAAUCACUGGGCGUAAAGGGUGCGUAGGCGGGUUUUUAAGUCUGAGGUGAAAUCCUGGAGCUCAACUCCAGAACUGCCUUUGAUACUGAAAGUCUUGAGUAUGGGAGAGGUGAGUGGAACUGCGAGUGUAGAGGUGAAAUUCGUAGAUAUUCGCAAGAACACCAGUGGCGAAGGCGGCUCACUGGCCCAUAACUGACGCUGAGGCACGAAAGCGUGGGGAGCAAACAGG